UACGUAGGGUCCGAGCGUUGUCCGGAAUUAUUGGGCGUAAAGAGCUCGUAGGCGGUAUGUCGCGUCUGCUGUGAAAGACCGGGGCUUAACUUCGGUUUUGCAGUGGAUACGGGCAUGCUUGAGGUAGGUAGGGGAGACUGGAAUUCCUGGUGUAGCGGUGAAAUGCGCAGAUAUCAGGAGGAACACCAAUGGCGAAGGCAGGUCUCUGGGCAGUUACUGACGCUGAGGAGCGAAAGCAUGGGUAGCGAACAGGAUUAGAUA
rnacentral:rRNA from 1 species